rnacentral:rRNA from 1 species
UACGUAGGGACCAAGCGUUGUUCGGAUUUACUGGGCGUAAAGGGCGCGUAGGCGGCACUGUUAGUCAGGCGUGAAGGUCCUGGGCUCAACCUGGGAACUGCGCUUGAUACGGCAGAGCUAGAGGAUGGAAGAGGGUCGCGGAAUUCCCAGUGUAGAGGUGAAAUUCGUAGAUAUUGGGAAGAACACCGGUGGCGAAGGCGGCGACCUGGUCCAUUACUGACGCUGAGGCGCGACAGCGUGGGGAGCAAACAGG